GUGGAAACCACCAACCAAUUGGAAGGUGACUAGGGUGAAUAUAGCCCAAGGAACUUGCAAAACUCUUUGGAGGGCCAAGGAGUAAAGGACUUCAUUCAGGGUGUGACAUGGUGGGCCACACCCAUCAACAGAAUCUCAGCCAGGGCUUCAGAACUAAUGUAAAAAGUGAAAAAAUCUUAUAACUCAGUUACAAAGACUUAGUUUUACUGCUAAUAAUGAACGUGGAACUUAUAGUCCUUUGCCUUCUACUCUGUCCAAAUCUGAUGAGUUAUUUUAGCCUAGAAAGUUCCAUAAAAUGUAUACCACCAAAAAGAAAAAUUCUGACUGCAGGGAAGCAGUACACUCUGUAGACCCCGGAGAAAAAUAAAUCACCAUGAGAUUUGACAACAAUCAAUUUUUCACUGCACGCUAAUCAAGCAGAUAGAAAGAAGGCCAUGUUCUCCUUGCUGCCACCAUGUGACGAAGGACACGUUUGCUUCCCCUUCCACCAUGAUUGCAAGUUUUCUGAGGCCUCCCCAGCCAUGCUGAACUGUGAGUCACUUAAACCUCUUUCCUUUAUAAAUUACCCAGUCUCGGAUGUGUCUUCAUUAGCAGCUUGAGAACAGAUUGAUACAAAAAAAAAGAACUAGAAACUGAUGUUAUUAAUAUGCAAUGUAAUGGAGUCUUAAAACCAAGUAGGCCAGCAUUUAUAGUACAUUUUUACACGUAUGUCUAGAAUAGUUACCUUAAACACACAUGCACACAGAUGGAUAACAUCUGUAUUUGCAA
rnacentral:lncRNA from 10 species